rnacentral:rRNA from 1 species
GAUGAACGCUGGCGGCGUGCCUAAUACAUGCAAGUCGAGCGAACGGACGAGAAGCUUGCUUCUCUGAUGUUAGCGGCGGACGGGUGAGUAACACGUGGAUAACCUACCUAUAAGACUGGGAUAACUUCGGGAAACCGGUGCUAAUACCGGAUAAUAUUUUGAACCGCAUGGUUCAAAAGUGAAAGACGGUCUUGCUGUCACUUAUAGAUGGAUCCGCGCUGCAUUAGCUAGUUGGUAAGGUAACGGCUUACCAAGGCAACGAUGCAUAGCCGACCUGAGAGGGUGAUAGGCCACACUGGAACUGAGACGCGGUCCAGACUCCUACGGGAGGCAGCAGUAGGGAAUGUUCGGCGAUGGGCGAAAGCCUGACGGAGCAACGCCGCGUGAGUGAUGAAGGUCUUCGGAUCGUAAAACUCUGUUAUUAGGGAAGAACAUAUGUGUAAGUAGCUGUGCACAUCGUGACGGUACCUAAUCAGAAAGCCACGGCUAACUACGUG